UACGGAGGGGGCUAGCGUUAUUCGGAAUUAUUGGGCGUAAAGGGCGCGUAGGCGGCCCGGUAAGUCAAAGGUGAAAUCCCUCGGCUCAACUGAGGAACUGCCUUUGAAACUGUCGGGCUUGAGGCCGGGAGGGGGUAGCGGAAUUCCCAGUGUAGCGGUGAAAUGCGUAGAUAUUGGGAGGAACACCGGUGGCGAAGGCGGCUACCUGGACCGGUUCUGACGCUGAGGCGCGAAAGCUAGGGGAGCGAACAGG
rnacentral:rRNA from 1 species